ensembl:lncRNA
GUCCCAUCUCAAGGGACACCCUCCCUCCUAAAGGGCUGUUCUGGACACCUGAGUGAGCCAUGUGAUUAUUGUUCCAGGCUGGAGCUGGAAUCAGAGAUGGCGCUGUCUCGGGGCCAUGCCCCCUCUGGAGGCUGACGGGGCUGCAGCAGAGAUCCAGGCUUGCCCAGCUCCUGGGGCACCAGGUGUCCCUGACCCGAGGCCAUGUCACUCCAGCCUCUGCCCCCAUCUUCAUGUGGCUUCUCCUCUGUGGGGAUGCCAGUCAUUGGAUUUAGAGCCACCCUGAUCCAGGAUGAUCUCGUCUUAAAGCUUCUUUACUUCAUUCCAUCUGCGAGGACCCCGUUGCCACAUAAUGUCAUGAUCUGAUGU